UACGUAGGGGGGCAAGCGUUUGUCCGGAUUUAUUGGGCGUAAAGAGCGUGUAGGCGGCCUGACAGGUCUGCUGUGAAAACUCGAGGCUCAACCUCGAGAUGUCGGCGGAAACCGUCUGGCUAGAGUCCGGAAGAGGAGAGUGGAAUUCCUGGUGUAGCGGUGAAAUGCGCAGAUAUCAGGAGGAACACCGGUGGCGAAGGCGGUUCUCUGGGAAUUACCUGACGCUGAGGUGCGAAAGCGUGGGGAGCAAACAGG
rnacentral:rRNA from 1 species